rnacentral:rRNA from 1 species
GCAUAUCAAUAAGCGGAGGAAAAGAAAACCACAGUGCCCCAGUAACGGCGAAGUGAAGCGGCAACAGCUCAAAUUUGAAAUCUGGCCCCCCGGCCCGAGUUGUAAUUUGCAGAGGAUGCUUCGGGCGCGGCGCCUUCCGAGUUCCCUGGAACGGGACGCCAUAGAGGGUGAGAGCCCCGUCCGGUUGGACGCCAAGCCUGUGUGAAGCUCCCUCGACGAGUCGAGUAGUUUGGGAAUGCUGCUCUAAACGGGAGGUAUAUGUCUUCUAAAGCUAAAUACCGGCCAGAGACCGAUAGCGCACAAGUAGAGUGAUCGAAAGAUGAAAAGCACUUUGAAAAGAGGGUUAAACAGUACGUGAAAUUGUUGAAAGGGAAGCGCUCGCGACCAGACUUGGGCCUGGCGGAUCACCCGGCGUUCUUCGCCGGGGCACUCCGCCUUCCCAGGCCAGCAUCGGCUCGCGCCGGGGGACAAAGGCGGCGGGAACGUGACUCCCUCCGGGGAGUGUUAUAGCCCGCCGCGCAAUACCCUGGCCGCGGGCCGAGGACCGCGCAUCUGCAAGGAUGCUGGCGUAAUGGUCGCCAGCGACCCGUCUUGAAACACGGACCAAGGAGUCGUCUUCGUAUGCGAGUGUUCGGGUGGCAAACCCCUACGCGUAAUGAAAGUGAACGCAGGUGAGAGCUUCGGCGCAUCAUCGACCGAUCCUGAUGUUCUCGGAUGGAUUUGAGUAGGAGCAUACGGGGCCGGACCCGAAAGAAGGUGAACUAUGCCUGUAUAGGGUGAAGCCAGAGGAAACUCUGGUGGAGGCUCGCAGCGGUUCUGACGUGCAAAUCGAUCGUCAAAUAUGGGCAUGGGGGGCGAAAGACUAAUCGAA